AAGGAUUUAAGUUAAAUAAACUCAGAGCCUUCAAAGCUCUAAAUAAAGAAAUUUCUUUAAGCCUUA
rnacentral:tRNA from 1 species